rfam:Dipodomys ordii contig_15269, whole genome shotgun sequence.
GGUGGCUCAGUGGUAGGGUGCUUGCCUUGCAAGCAUGAAGCCCUGGGUUCGAUUCCUCAGCACCA